rnacentral:lncRNA from 1 species
ACAAAAUACCUAAGUUAAAAAAAUACAAUUAAAAUACAAGCCUCUAAACUGCAGGUUAUACCACGGAUGUGAAUAUUUUAGAAAAUGUUAAUAGAAAAUUCUGAAAAACGUUACUGGAUAUUAAGUAAUAUCUCCUUUCUUCAAUCUUGUGAUUAACAGGACUUUUAUUGGUAGUAAACUAGAGCAAACAAUCAGAAUAAUACAUAUGCAGUAUUCAGUACACACAAUAAAAGUUAAAGAAAUUCAAAACCUGUAUAAAACAAACUGGAGAAAAAUCAUACAGCUUAAGAGAUACAGUGGUAAAGGUCCUCUCCAUCCUUUGAUUACAGCUUGUACUCUGUACUCAAUAGAACUUACCGCACUUACUGAAAUAAGAAAUAAACACUUUUUAGUACUCAGCGUAUUUAAGAUUAAGUACAUUUUCUAAGAAUCUUGCAAUGACAAGUUGGUGACCCUUUAGCUGCUAAAGCUAAAGGGAGGAAAGUGGGAAAAGGAAAUUAACUAAUACUUUGUAACCAUUUUUAAUAUUUCUUAUUUUCCAAACACUGCUUUUAUAACAGAAGUGUUUUACACUUGCACAAUAUUAAUUACUUUAUUAUACAUGGAAGCCUGCGGUAGGCUGAUUACACAAUAAGACUGCAAACAACCAGUGGUACUUUUCUGACGUCAGAAGAGUACAUAAGACUGAAACAUCACCAAAAGUACAUAAAAAACUCAUCAGCAUAAACAUCAAAGUACAUUAAAAAAUAUAAUCAGGAAAAAAAUACAAUUGCUAAAAAGCAGUUUUAGAGUAGAGCCACUGCCAAUCAGUAGCUUCAAAUGGCAAUUAGAGUUCAUAGCAAGUUUUGAUGACUUUACAAGACCCCUGUACAAUACUAAUGCACCCUUUCAUUAAAAUGUACAUUAAAGGCCGCAAUUUCACAAAGAGGUUCUGAUGUUAUUACUAUAAGCAGACACAUUCUUAUCCCUCACAGGAGUUAUGUCACCAGUUGGAAUUACAACCUUAUUAAUAUCUAUCCAAGAACACGGGGUUUUAUUACAUAUGGAAAUCUGUAUGGGUUUUUUUUUUUUUAAAGGUGGGUUUUGGGGAUGUUUACCCUAUUGUUUUUUAUUUGGAUGCCCUAAGGCAUAUAAAGCGCAUAGUGAAUUACCUACUGGAAUGUAAAUGGUUCUAAAAUUAAAACUGUUAAAAUAGAAAGAGGGAAAAGGAAGGCCCAAGAACUCUUAAAGAGAGGCUGGAAUGAAUGUGGUUUGGAAGUUCAGAGUACAUUUAAAAGCUGCAACAAAAUAUAGGUAGCCAACAAUCUCAGAAUUUUGGAUCAGCCCAGAUGGAGAUAGCAAUUUGAAAUGUCUUCGAUCCCUUACUUAAAUGACGAAAUGUCUAUCAGCCCAGAUAGAGCAAUUUGAAAUGUUUUCGAUCCCUUACUUAAAUGAUGAAAUGUAUAUCAUACUAUCUGUAAAUUGGAUAUUCCAUUACAGUGAUAACGUACAGAAUUCCCAUGCGUUAUUACACUUUCCUGAGAGUAAAGCAAUUAGAAUAACCUUAAUCCUAGCAACAAAGUUUUUUUUGUAGGUUUUUUUUUUUUGGUUUUUUUUUGUCUUUUUUUUUGCGUUUAAAACAUUUGGGCUAUUCCCUGACGAUCUAU